AUUGAACGCUGGCGGCAUGCCUUACACAUGCAAGUCGAACGGCAGCACGGGAGCUUGCUCCUGGUGGCGAGUGGCGAACGGGUGAGUAAUACAUCGGAACGUACCCUGAAGUGGGGGAUAACGUAGCGAAAGUUACGCUAAUACCGCAUAUUCUGUGAGCAGGAAAGAGGGGGAUCGCAAGACCUCUUGCUUUAGGAGCGGCCGAUGUCGGAUUAGCUAGUUGGUGAGGUAAAGGCUCACCAAGGCGACGAUCCGUAGCGGGUCUGAGAGGAUGAUCCGCCUCACUGGGACUGAGACACGGCCCAGACUCCUACGGGAGGCAGCAGUGGGGAAUUUUUGGACAAUGGGCGCAAGCCUGAUCCAGCCAUGCCGCGUGAGUGAAGAAGGCC
rnacentral:rRNA from 1 species